GACAGAGGGUGCAAACGUUGUUCGGAAUUACUGGGCGUAAAGCGCGUGUAGGCGGCCCUGUAAGUCGGGUGUGAAAUCCCACGGCUCAACCGUGGAAGUGCACUCGAAACUACAGGGCUAGAGUCCUGGAGAGGAAGGUGGAAUGCUUGGUGUAGAGGUGAAAUUCGUAGAUAUCAAGCGAAACACCGGUGGCGAAGGCGGACUUCUGGACAGUGACUGACGCUGAGACGCGAAGGCGUGGGGAGCAAACAGG
rnacentral:rRNA from 1 species